GUUAUGAGUAGCCUAGUGGACAUAGCAUCUGCCUGGAAAGCGGAAUAUUGUGGGUUCGAUUCCUAUCCCUGGACA
rnacentral:tRNA from 1 species